GGGGGGGCUCAACGCGUAGGCGCUCAAGGCGCAUUGCAAGGCGACGCCUUUGAGGCUGCCUUGCUGGAAGCAAAGCAUCAACUAGGUAGGAUGAGCAGAGGCAAGCAGAGGCAAAGCAGGCAAGAAGAAGUGCAUCACAUACACACACCAGACACCACCAAGGCACCAAGAGAAGUUGUCAUGGAAGCUGUACAUUGUUUCCCCUCUUGGAGAGGGAUGCACCAGUGGGAGGAGUCGCCAAAAGCUUGGCCAGAAGCUUGGCCGGAGCUGGGGAGGCCGGCAGAUGAAGGAGCAGCAGCAGAUCUGGCCAGAGUUGGGGAGGUCGCGUGAGAGGAGCUCCCCCUCUCUCUUCCCUCUCUUUCCCCUAUAGAUGGCCCUCAAUUUCCCUCCCAGCCCGCCAUUUCUGUUUUCCCCUCCUGCCAGCCCAAAGUUUCCCGCGCACAUAACAGAGGCGUCCAGAUUCUUGCAAGGCGGUGAUUUCGCGCCUAGGCGACGCCUUUGGACACCUCAGAGACACCUUUGGAUGCCUUGGGUAGAAAACAAUGGCGACGCCGAUGCCUUGCCCUCCCGGAGCGCUCAGACGCUUAAGCGUCGCUUAGGCGACACCUUUAAAACCAUGGUGAAAGACUUGUUUCCAUGUGUGGAAGCGGAAAAAAUGCUUCUAGAUUAUCUGACGAUGUUGGCUUAACAUUGCCACGUCCUGAUACUCCUACAGCAUCUGAGCUUGCUUUUAGAAGGGUAUUGGAAUUUGGGUCUCCUUUAUUAUCAUCAGGUGUAUUCUCUUGUAUGGUUGUACCAUUGUUGUUCCUCCUCAAUCUCCGAUGAGCAUGACAAAUUAUUUUUGGAUUUCUUUCGUGGAACAUCUAUCAGCUAUCGUGAAUUUCAAUGCAUUUUUUGAUGGGUCAUAUAUACAUGCCUGUGUUGUUCGGAAUAUGAUGCUGCUAAUGAUAAUGGCAAGAAUCCGGCAGGCCGCUUGCUCGCCAAAAGCAAAAUUCUUCCGCGGUAUUUAGGAAAAUGCAAAUCCAAUCUACCCACGAUCUAGCCACUAGGUGCAACAGUGGAUCAGAUUUCAACCCUUUCGGGCCUAAAGAGGAAGUCAACGACUCCUUAGAGCCAGCGACUAAGGUCCGCUAGCUUUGCGGUACUAUAUUGCUAAUUGACAAUAUGAUCAAGGUAUUAUUGUCUUAUCGAUUGAUGCAGAGGCUGGGGCUUUCCCCAUUUCGAAAAAAGAGGGAGUCGUAUGGAGCGGUUGGAGCUGGGAAAAGGGAGUCCUGCCACUUCAGAUCUGCCCUCGGUGCCAUGCGAUGGCAGCGCUGGAGUAUAUCCAAGGAGAUGUUUCAUCAAGGAUCUCAAGGAAUCCUAGAAGGAGCUAACGAUCUGGUGGAAGAAGUCCCUCGACAGAGAGGGUAUUUCAAGUCGGUAAACAUGAGCAACUGGCUGCACGACACCCCAUGUGGUGGUACGGAUUGAGCUGCAACAUGUAUAAGAGGCAAUAUUUGGUCGGCGUGCGUGUGAUCUAGCUAGCUGUGCAACAAUUUCUUAUUUGUACUACAAGUUGCGUUGAAACCAGUGUUAGUGUAUUAGAGAGGCAACAUGCUGCUUGUAAUUCCAGUUGCAAGUGUUACAUGCAUCAUCUGUACAUGAGAUUAUUGUUGCCAUUGGUUGAUAAUGGUGCCACAGAGGCUUGGAUCAUGCUUGCAAGAUGGAAGAAACCUCAUCUACAUUUGUAUGAAGUACGUUGUGCUCUUGAUAAAAUGGUCGAGGUCUGUAUGA